rnacentral:misc_RNA from 1 species
GUGAAUCAUCAAAUUUUUGAACGCAAAUUGCACUCUCCUCGGAGAGUAUGCCUGUUUGAGGGUCAGCCUAUAAAAAAUCGACAUCGUUGCUGUUUCGCGGUGGCGUUCGUCGGAAAUUGGGUCAUCUUAAAUCUUUUGUUUUUAAUCGACUAAAAAUUUUCUUUUUGUUUCCAUGAACGUUUUUAAGUUUUAUUUCUUUACACGUUUAGGUUAUGGAUUUUUAUUAGACUUAACCAUCAUAUCGGAUC